rnacentral:misc_RNA from 1 species
UGCCGCUAAUGGUGCAUGCGUGUACACAGCCAGCUAUGGUGAUGCAUCUUACUCAAUGGGCUACUUGAGUCAAGAUCUACUGACCUUAACACCAACACAGACCUUGCCCCAGUUCACCUACGGAUGCGGGGAGGACAACGAGGGGUUAUUUGGUAGAGCAGCAGGUAUUAUAGGGCUAGCCCGUGACAAGCUAUCAAUGUUAGGCCAGUUGUCUACCAAGUACGGAUAUGCCUUCUCCUAUUGCCUUCCCACAGCCACUUCUAUCUCUUCUGGAGGGGGCUUCUUGUCCAUUGGAAACAUUUCUCCAUCGCCCUACAAGUUCACCCCAAUGAUCAGAAACCC